AUGGUUAUCACAACUGUGUACAAACUGAUAGGGCCUUUAGCGGGCCAAGGACUGGAAACGAACAUUGGCGGGGUUAUCAGUGCGGAUCUGUCAGCAAGGAGUCGUGCACUGCUCGUCCCAGGCAGCAGUAGUGAUAUACGUCUUGUUCCUUCGUGCUCACAAAAAGGAUUUCUUCCGACAAGCUGGACACUGGAAGGGUGCAGAAAGGGAACUGAACAGGAGGAACUCUCUUGUUGGAUUGGAUUUUUACACACUCGCCCCAGCUUGUUAUCUGGGCCACCCAAUGACCGACGAAAGAUCUUCCCUCCCUAAGUCUCCCAUCGCUGCUUUAAACCAAAUAAAUUUAGCUAUUAAGGGACA
rnacentral:lncRNA from 1 species